CCACGGUGGAGUUGUCCGUGUCGAUGGUGUAGAGGAUGCCCUCGUAGCGGAUCUGCGCCUUGGAGAUGAGGCUGAUCUUGCUACCCAGGCGAGGGCGCACACCUCCAGCACUACCACCUUGGGCAUCACUUGGGCAUCACUGAGCCUGGGAGUGCAGAGAGAGGAGCUGAGAAGCUGGAAAACCCCUGCAAGUUGGACUCUGCCUUCGUUUCUCCUUCACCUGCGGCACAAGGAGCUUCCCAGGCGAGGGGCUGAAUCGGAGCUGUAGCCACUGGCCUACACCACAGCUCAGGGCAACGCCGGAUCCUUAACCCACUGAGCAAGGCCAGGGAUCGACCCUGGGUCCUCAUGGAUGCCAGUCAAGUUUGUUUCUGCGGAGCCACAACGGGAACUCAUCUCUCCUUUUGCCAGAGGGAGAUUGCAGCUGUCCUGCCCGUCUCACCAGUGGCUGUGAGGACCCAGAAAGUGACACUGGCCAUGGGAUUUUGAGAGGCGCUGGGGGCCUGGCCACGGGAGACGGCCAGUGUGCGGGAUGACAGAAGAAGCUGUCCAGAUUCCCACUGCAAUCGUGAGCCACUUACUAAGACCCUGCUGAGUGUGGGGAGCGUGUCCCUUACUAUGGACAGGUGUGCAGGGCUGGACACCGGACUCUGCCUGGGGUUCCACCACCUCUAGUGUCCUGUGGCAGAUGAGGGGCCCAGCUCCCCAGAAAGUCACUCCGUGACUCUGAUGUGCACCUGAGAAGGAAUGCCAGCCCGGCCGCUGAUUUCACAGGUACCAGUGCUCAGGAGGAGCCAAACAAGACGGGUGAGUGGAUGGAGUGCCCGGCGUGACUCAGCGGGUUAAGAACCCGACGCUGUCCCUGUGAGGAUGCAGGUUCAAUCCCUGACCUCCAUCCGUGGGUUGAGGAUCCGGUGUUGCCAUGGCUGUAGCGUGGUCCCCAGCUGCAGGUCCGAUUCAGCCCUGGUUUGGGAACUUCCAUAUGCUGCAGGUGGGGCCGUGAAAAGAAAGAAAGGAAAAAAAAAAAGAUGAUUUGAUUCAAAAUAUGCUAACAGUAGCUCGGUGGUCCAUAGAUAAAGCGGCAGUUGAGUCUGUGGUCCAAAGCAGGGGACAUGCCAGCAAGGCAGGACCUCCCCUGUCCCCUCCUCUCCUCCAGUGCGGGCAGUUUGGGCAGGGCUGGCUUUGAAGGGACUCUUACGAGGGGUCUUCCGGGCAGGUAAGGGGCUGCGAGGCCCGAGGCAGGUGUGCUCAGGGGCUGAGGGGCUGGGAGUAAGGGCAGGAGGGGGGACGGUUGGUCCUGCCCAGCCGGGUUCUGCCCGAGGUCUGCGCCCCCGCCCGGGGCCCGAGGAGCUGCGCUCCCAAGCACGGUGGGCUGAGGCUCCACAUCUUUGGCCCUCCUUCCCCUUCUCUGGCUUCUCCCCCGUCCCUCCUCCUCCAUCUCCUCCCCCCACACACCCCCCCUUCCACUUCUUUCCCUCCCUCACCUCUGCGGCUCCUCUCCCGCCCGGGGCCCCGGGCCUCGGCCCCCCUUCCCAGGUGCAGCUGGAUGGGAGCAGGGAGCAGAGUCGAUGGCUGGCUGACCCGUCACCAGGUUCCCGGGGUCAGAGUGCAGCAUGGCAGCCCCUCAGAAACAGGGAGAAAGUGCCUAGAGAACAUCCCGGAAACGGGAAAGUGGACAGGCCCGUGGGCUUUCUUCUCCUGGUGAGGAUGAAGCCUCUGGACACCGAGGGCUUGAGGAACUCAGGAGCAGCUGAUUUACAAGCCGCACCCACAGCUGCACCCACGUGGAAGGUCCCAGGCUAGGAACCAAAUCCAAGCCACAUCUGUGAUCUGUGCUGCAGCUGCAGCAGCGCUGGGUCCUUAAGCCACCCUGUCACAGUGGGAACUCCGUCAUUUUUACUUAUCAAUACAAGAUGGCUCUCAGAGCCCAGUGGUGACAUGCAUAUCUGUUUGGCAGCAGACCCAGCACACACUGAAAUGUUUUCACAGCAGAGCUGAACCCCGUGACCGCCAGCAGGAGAUUGGACCGGUCUGGGCAUUGCACAGACCAGACUGGCCACACAGACAGGGCCACCAGGGCAAGAGAGGCAGGGGCAAAGCCCUGUCCUCUCUGCAGUCGCCCGGGACCUAAUGGUGAGGAGACCAGCCUGGGCCAGCUGCUUGGCCAGGGUCACACAGCCAGAAAGCGGCCUUGUUGGGAUUCCAGUCGAGUUUUGGGCUGCUGACCUGGACACCUGCCUCCGAGCCCUCCCUGCUCAGCCCUGGGAGAGACCGGAUGUGCUUUUCUCAGCCAAGGAGCUCACACUCUCCAGGAGCCCGGAUGCAGGCUGAGCUGGGGCUGAAGCCCGGCCAUGGGGAAGGUACUUCCUCCUGUCCUGUCUGGACCCCACCCAAAGGGUGCAGGGUGCAGGGAGUUGCCAUAGAACCCAGAGGCUUCCCUGGGGAGCAUCUUAGGAUGUGAACUCCAGGUCAGCUCCAAAGCCAGGCCCUUGUGUUUGCACCCGCCUGACAGCACAAGUUUCCGGCCUGGCAGAACCACAGCCCUGAGAAUGAAGUCAUGUAAAUAAAGAAGCGGUAGAGGCGUUCCUGUCGUGGAGCAGCGGAAACAACUCAGACUAGGAACCAUGAGGUUGCGAGUUCGACCCCUGACCUAGCUCAGUGGCUGAGGAUCUGGUGUAGCUGUGAGCUGUG